rnacentral:rRNA from 1 species
UUUGAGAGUUUGAUCCUGGCUCAGGAUGAACGCAGGCGGCGUGCUUAACACAUGCAAGUCGAACGGGGUUAAUGAGGACAAAAGUAUUCGUACCGAUGUAAUUAUUAACUUAGUGGCGGACGGGUGAGUAACACGUGAGUAAUCUACCUCAAGCAGGGGAAUAACAGCGGGAAACCGUUGCUAAUACCACAUAGAGUGUCGAAUAGGCAUCUAUACGACAUAAAAGGAGAGAUCCGGCCUGAGAUGAGCUCGCGUCCGAUUAGGUAGUUGGUGAGAUAAGAGCCCACCAAGCCUGCGAUCGGUAGCCGGACUGAGAGGUUGCUCGGCCACAUUGGGACUGAGACACGGCCCAGACUCCUACGGGAGGCAGCAGUGGGGAAUCUUGGGCAAUGGGGGGAACCCUGAC